AGAGCAGCCCCUCUGGGAAUCACGAUGAACAUUCUGAGGUUUGAACACCUGGAAAGUUCCCUGCGUCUCACAGACAUGAGCAAAAAAACGUCAACCGAUCACUCGGCAACCCCACCAACGGAAAUUUCUCCCUCCCUGGGGCUCCCUUCUGAGGUUUUUCCUUAACAGUUUGGAGCAGCCGAGGAAAAAAUGUGACGCAAUCUAGGCACCUCCUGCGGACCUCCGGACCCGCCAAAAUUUUACCUUUAAAUAAUCUGGACACCCAAGGUGGAGCUCGAACUCACGACCCUGAGAUCAAGAGUCGCGUGCUCCACGGACUGAGCCAGUCAGGCGCCCUGAGACUUUUUUGGGGGUGGAAAUUGCCUCACUUCAGAACUGUUAGCAGUUCAGGGCAAGGUUCCUCCAAUACAGAAUGUGUACCAAUCUCUCAGAGCUUUUGAUGAUCCGCCUGCUCAUUGUACAGAUAAAAACUAUGGCCCCGGGGGCACCAGGGUGGGUAACCGUCUGAUUUCAGCUCCGGUCACGAUCUCAGCGUUGUGAGAUGGAACCCUGCCCCAGGCUCCUCCUUCGGUGGGGAGUCGGCUGGUCUCCCUCUCCCUCUGCCCUUCCCCGCUCGUGCUCGCCCGCCCUCUAAACAGAUAAAUAAAAUGUUUAAAAAACAAAAAAACGUUGGCCCCCGGGAGCUGUAAGUUUCCUCAACCUGGGUUCAAAUCACAAAAUAUCAUUUAAAACUUCACUGGCCUCCUUGGGGCACCCUUGAUAUCCCUAAAUUGUGUAUUUAAGAGCACAGUUGGAAAGGUGAAGCUGUCGUACUUCACAGAAUCAACGGAAGCCUAUUUCAUUUGGUACUUAGAAGCCCCCAAAAGAACCUACUCAGUCGUAGCCUCUGCAGAAGAAAAAAACUCAAUCAAAGAAAGAUGAAAACAAUUAGAACAACUCAACACUGAAUCAAAAAUUACCCCACAUCUUCCAUUUCCAGUUCUCUGUCCCCCCACAGCAUGCCUUCUAUUUCUUCUGCUAUAUGCAGAUCUUUCCAAACUUCCUUUUCUCCCCUCUGAAGUUUCUCCUUCCCCAGCCCUGCCACCAGCCAUCCUCCCAAAACUAUCAUAGCACCUUUUAAAGUCACAGUUACUUGUACUGAUCCCAAUAAUCAGGU